GCCCGUAGUCAUACGCUCGUCUCAAAGAUUAAGCCAUGCAUGUGUAAGUAUAAAUAAUUCUACUUUGAAACUGCGAAUGGCUCAUUAUAUCAGUUAUAGUUUAUUAGAAAUAGUGUACUACUUGGAUAACCGUAGUAAUUCUAGGGCUAAUACAUGAGUAAAUCCUCGACUUUUGAAGAGGUGUGUUUAUUAGUAUGAAAACCAUAUGCUUUUGCAUGAUAGUGAGUAAUAAUAACCUUUCAUAUCGCCUGUUUUAAAUAGCGAUAGUUCUUUCAAGUUUCUGCCCUAUCAGCUUUCGAUGGUAGUGUAUUGGACUACCAUGGCAGUAACGGGUAACGAAGAAUUUGGGUUCGAUUUCGGAGAGGGAGCCUGAGAGAUGGCUACCACAUCCAAGGAAGGCAGCAGGCGCGUAAAUUACCCAAUCCUGACAUAGGGAGGUAGUGACAAUAAAUCACAAUGCGGGACUAUUUAGUUUUGCAAUUGAAUUGAGAACAAUGUACAAGAGUUAUCGAUAAACAAUUGGAGGGCAAGUCUGGUGCCAGCAGCCGCGGUAAUCCA
rnacentral:rRNA from 1 species